GACGAACGCUGGCGGCAUGCUUAACACAUGCAAGUCGAACGGAAAGGCCCUGCUUUUGUGGGGUGCUCGAGUGGCGAACGGGUGAGUAACACGUGAGUAACCUGCCCUUGACUUUGGGAUAACUUCAGGAAACUGGGGCUAAUACCGGAUAGGAGCUCCUGCUGCAUGGUGGGGGUUGGAAAGUUUCGGCGGUUGGGGAUGGACUCGCGGCUUAUCAGCUUGUUGGUGGGGUAGUGGCUUACCAAGGCUUUGACGGGUAGCCGGCCUGAGAGGGUGACCGGCCACAUUGGGACUGGGAUACGGCCCAGACUCAUACGGGAGGCAGGAGUGGGGAAUAUUGCACAAUGGGCGGAAGCGUGAUGCAGCAACGCCGCGUGCGGGAUGACGGCCUUCGGGUUGUAAACCGCUUUCGCCUGUGACGAAGCGUGAGUGACGGUAAUGGGUAAAGAAGCACCGGCUAACUACGU
rnacentral:rRNA from 1 species